ACGGAAGGCAGCAGUGGGGAAUAUUGCACAAUGGGGGAAACCCUGAUGCAGCGACGCCGCGUGAGCGAAGAAGUAUUUCGGUAUGUAAAGCUCUAUCAGCAGGGAAGAAAAUGACGGUACCUGACUAAGAAGCCCCGGCUAACUACGUGCCAGCAGCCGCGGUAAUACGUAGGGGGCAAGCGUUAUCCGGAUUUACUGGGUGUAAAGGGAGCGUAGACGGCAAGGUAAGUCUGAAGUGAAAUGCCGGGGCUCAACCCCGGAACUGCUUUGGAAACUAUCUCGCUCGAGUACCGGAGGGGUAAGCGGAAUUCCUAGUGUAGCGGUGAAAUGCGUAGAUAUUAGGAGGAACACCAGUGGCGAAGGCGGCUUACUGGACUGUAACUGACGUUGAGGCUCGAAGGCGUGGGGAGCAAACAGGAUUAGAUACCCUGGUA
rnacentral:rRNA from 1 species